rnacentral:lncRNA from 1 species
UAAAUUUACGCUUGGCAGUAGCCAAGAGUGGGAGCUGGGGAUCUGGCUGAUGGCCGUGCCGGCAGCGGUGCUCCAGCCCGCCGGCGCUGGCAGUCCCAGCCCGGGCCCCUGUGACCUGCUGCUGGCUUGGGAAGGCAGGGAGUCCCGGGAUCCCGAGGGCUGCCUCGGGCACCCUCUGUGCCCACAGCGUGCAUGGCCGGCAGGGUGCGAGGGACUGCAGCAGGCAGAGGAGAGGCAGGAGGACUCAGUACGGUGGCACCUGUCCAUCUCGUGA